CGAAAAAAAUCAGAGUCACUGCUUCACAUCACGAAACUAAUACCAUUUAUGUGCGAUGAUCAAGAAAGCUAGUAUAUUAUCUUUCGGAUUUCCUUACCCCGGGAGGGGUGAUGUAACGAAAUAUUCCUAUUUAUAUUUUGUCACCUUUACUAAUAAUUUAAAUUGGCUGCUGUCUUACAGUUAAGACGCGCAGGCGUAUUAGGCUUAGAAAGAUUCGGGAACGUUAAUAACCAGACAAAAAAUAUAGAAACGAAACUCAAGGCGGUUAUAUUUCCAAGACAUCAUCCUUAUAAGAACUGUAUAGAAUAUACCUUAUAAAACAACAUUUACGGCAGUGAAUACACCUUUUUCUAAUGGAUUAAAUGAGAGGUUAAAUCAAACCAUAAUAAACAAGAUUAGAUGUAGGAUAAAUGAGAAAAGAGGAAAAACUGCUUGGACUACAAUAGCACAUGAAUGUGUAGCAAAAUAUAAUAAAACCGAACACACAGUGACAGGAUUCUCCCCACAACACUUACUAGAAGGCACAAAUACAGCAAUAAUUCCUGAAGAACUAAAAUACACAAAAA
rnacentral:lncRNA from 1 species